CACGGCUAGUCUGCGGGUGCGCGAACCCUGACAGAGGCCAAAGUUAGAGCCGCCCUUCGACCCUUCUCUUACUUGGCUCCUGUUCAGUCCCUCUGUGGUGUAGUUAAAAACAUAAAUGUGGAAUGUGCAAUCCCAGCCAACCUCUCAGGAGGCAGGGGCAGGAGGAUGCCAGUUCAAGACCUGCCUGGGCAACUUAAAAUCCUGUCUCCAAAUAAAAAGCGAAAGGCUGGAGAUAGAUAGCUCAGGAGUAGGGCGCUUUUUAGCAGGCAGAAAGCCUUGGUUGCCAUCCCCAGUGCUGCCCAGAAGAAAGAAAAAAUUUUUCACAGGCAUUUCUUUUUUCCAUUGGGGUUAAAUAUAGACAGUAUAAAUUUACCGUGCCUCCCCCAAAACACACACCCAGCCCAGGGCACCCACAGUUUCUGUCCUGGCGGGUUUGAAGCCGCUGAGAACCGUCAGUGCCUGUCCUCUUGCCCCUGGCUGCCUUCAUGUAGCAUUCAUCCACAUUGUACCAUGUGUCAGAAUUUCCCUCCCAUUUCAAAAAUAUUUCAUUACACAUUUCCCAAUGCAUUCAGUGGGCACUUGGGAGGUCUCCGGUUUUUGGUGCUGGGAGUAACACUGCCAUGAAAAUGAUUAUACAGAUGUCUCUUUGAGACCGUGUUCUUGGUUCUUUGGGGCAUACCGGAUCAUACUGCUACCAGUGAAACUGGAGUUCCCUUUGUGUGUUCUUAGUCUUGUUAACAAAAGUAUUUAGAAACGGGCUUGGAGCUAGGCAGUAGUGGUGCAUGGCUUUUACACCAACACCGGGGAGGCAGAGACAGGCAAGUCUCUUGUGAGACCAGCCUGGGCUACAGAGCUAGUUCCCGAACAGCCAGGGCUGUUCAACACAAGAAACCCUGUGUUGAAAAUAAAACAAAGAAAGAAAAGGACUUGGAAGGAGGCUUGAGGACAGCUAGAUUAGCAGUUGAGAGAAAAAUAAUAGAGUGGGUGUGUUGGAUAGUUUUAUUUUAUGUGCAUUGGUGUGAGGGUAGAAGAUCCCUUGGAACUGGAGUUACAGACAGUUGUGAGCCAUCAUGUGGGUGCUGGGAACUGAACUUCCAGUUCUUUGGAAGAGCAGACAGUGCUUCUAACCACAGAGCCACUUCUCCAGGCUCAUGUACUAGAUAGUUUUAUGUCAACUUGAUGCAAGCUAAAGUCACCUGAGAGGGGGGAACCUCAAUUUUAAAAAAGUGGCUCCGUGAAAUCUUGCUGCAGGUAAGCCUAUAGGGCCCCAGCCCGUUGUGGGUGGGGCCAUCUCCAGGCUGGUGGUCUUGGAUUCUAUAAGAAAGACUGAACAAGCCAUGGGGAGCAAGCCAGUAAGCAGGACCCCUCCAUGGCAUCAGCUCCUGCCUCUGGGUUCCUGCCCUGUUUGAGUUCCUGUCCUGACUUCCUUCAGUGAUGGAAUACAAUGUGGACAACACUGUAAGCCCAAUUAUAAUGUUACAAGCCCAGUAACCUGUUUCCUCCCCAACUUGUUUUUUGGUCAUAGUGUUUUGUCACAGCAACUGAAACCCUGAUAGAAGCAGAAAAUCAGUCGGCUUCCUCCCUUCCUAGAGGAAGAAGUGAGCUGCCCCUGUUCUGCGGUGUCUCUGAACAUGCCCGUCUCCACCCUGGCCCUCCACGAACUCUCAUGAGCAGCAGCCAGUUGGCUAAGACUAUGGAAACGGAUGAUGAUGAGACAGAGGCAGUUCCCAACUGAUCCUGUGCCAGCAAGGCAUGGCUGCCAUACAGUGUGGAAUGAGGGUGGGCCUGCCGGCCAGGCCACAGGCCUGCUCAGGGAUCAGAAAGUGGGGAGGGAGGGAGGAGGAGGAGUGAUAAGAGCUGGUCAGGAGUGUUCCUGUGCUUAUCCCACGCAGAGGAGGAAACUGAGGCAUGAAACUAGGUUAGAAGUUGGGUAGCUUUAGCCUCUGGAAAUUAGAACAUCUUCGAUCUCAUGGGACACUAGGAUGCCACAGCCCAGGUUGGGGUUCAGAUCAGGCAUGUGUGUGUAGCUGUUUCCUCUGAGUGGGACAUGGUCUCGAACCAGAGCCAACUGUAAUCACCCACCCACUUGGGAACCUCAUGAGAUCAAGCCAUUAACAUUUCUGGUAGGUGGAGGGGAGGUGCUCCUGGGGCUCACAGGCCUUUCAAGAUCUCCUCACUAGGUCCAGCCACUUUCCAAGGUUCUACAGGAGGUGAAAGAAUGCUGAGGAGCUCCAGGGGACACUCUUCAACAGUGUAGCUACCAGGGGGAUCCCUAAAGUUACAACUUUUUUUGUGAGUCAUCUACACUGCAUGUGGGAUUAUCCAGUGAUGUAGACGUCCAUAAAUACCCCAGGGAACUUCUUGGCAGUGUAGCCCCUAUGCAGUUCCUCUUGUCCCUGAAGUAACCCUAAUAAACUCAUUGUUUCACCAAC